GACGAACGCUGGCGGCGUGCCUAAUACAUGCAAGUCGAGCGAAGUUUUUCUGGUGCUUGCACCGGAAAAAACUUAGCGGCGAACGGGUGAGUAACACGUAAAGAACCUGCCUCAUAGACUGGGACAACUAUUGGAAACGGUAGCUAAUACCGGAUAACAGCAUUAACUGCAUGGUUGAUGUUUAAAAGUUGGUUUUGCUAACACUAUGAGAUGGCUUUGCGGUGCAUUAGCUAGUUGGUAGAGUAAAAGCCUACCAAGGCAACGAUCAGUAGCCGGCUUGAGAGAGUGUACGGCCACAUUGGGACUGAGACACGGCCCAGACUCCUACGGGAGGCAGCAGUGGGGAAUUUUGCACAAUGGGGGAAACCCUGAUGCAGCGACGCCGCGUGAUUUAGAAGGCCUUCGGGUUGUAAAAAUCUUUUGUAUGGGAAGAAAAUGACAGUACCAUACGAAUAAGGACCGGCUAAUUACGUGCCAGCAGCCGCGGUAAUACGUAAGGUCCGAGCGUUGUCCGGAAUCAUUGGGCGUAAAGGGUAUGUAGGCGGAUAGCAAGUUAGAAGUUAAAUCCUAUAGCUCAACUAUAGCAAGCUUUUAAAACUGCUCAUCUUGAGGUAUGGAAGGGAAAGUGGAAUUCCUAGUGUAGCGGUGAAAUGCGCAGAUAUUAGGAGGAAUACCGGUGGCGAAGGCGACUUUCUGGCCAUAAACUGACGCUGAGGUACGAAAGCGUGGGUAGCAAACAGGAUUAGAUACCCUGGUAGUCCACGCCGUAAACGAUGAGUGUUAGGUGUCUGGAAUAAUCUGGGUGCCGCAGCUAACGCAUUAAACACUCCGCCUGGGGAGUACGCACGCAAGUGUGAAACUCAAAGGAAUUGACGGGGACCCGCACAAGCAGCGGAGCAUGUGGUUUAAUUCGACGCAACGCGAAGAACCUUACCAAGUCUUGACAUAAUACGGAAGCUUUUAGAGAUAAGAGCCUACAUCUUCGGAUGACUGUAUUACAGGUGGUGCAUGGUUGUCGUCAGCUCGUGUCGUGAGAUGUUGGGUUAAGUCCCAUAACGAGCGCAACCCCUAUUGUUAGUUACCAUCAUUAAGUUGGGGACUCUAGCAAUACUGCCGGUGAUAAACCGGAGGAAGGUGGGGAUGACGUCAAAUCAUCAUGCCCUUUAUGACUUGGGCUACACACGUGCUACAAUGGCAGGUACACAGGGAUGCGAAACUGUGAAGUUAAGCGAAACUCAAAAAGCCUGUCCCAGUUCGGAUUGCACUCUGCAACUCGAGUGCAUGAAGUUGGAGUUGCUAGUAAUCGUGGAUCAGAAUGCCGCGGUGAAUGCGUUCCCGGGUCU
rnacentral:rRNA from 1 species